rnacentral:rRNA from 1 species
UACGAGUGCCCCAAGCGUUAUCCGGAAUUAUUGGGCGUAAAGGGUGUGUAGGCAGCAUGGUUAGUCUCUUGUUAAAGCUCCCGGCUCAACCGGGAAGAUGCAAGGGAAACGGCCAUUGCUAGAGGAUGUGAGAGGUGAAUGGAACUCAUGGUGUAGGGGUGAAAUUCGUAGAUAUUAGGAAGAACACCGGUGGCGAAGGCGGCCCACUGGAUCGGUACUGACGCUGAGGUGCGAAAGCGUGGGGAGCAAACAGG